GGAGCUGCGGCCGUGAUCUGUCGAGACAAGUCGGGGAAUUUUCUUGGAGCAUCAGCACUUGUCUUUGAGGGUUUGGUCGACCCGGCGAGUUUGGAGGCGCACGCGUGCAGUGAGGCCCUUUCCCUUGCUCGCGACUUGAAUGUGCAGGAGUUGGUGAUAGCGUCGGAAUGUUUAGAAGUGGUAACAAAUAUCAACACACAAGCAUCACCAGUGUAUGCGCCUAUUCUGCAAGAUAUACACUUUAGUAUGAACAUGUUCUCUUCAGUUAAUUUUCGUUUCGAGUGUAGAGAAAAUAAUUUCGAGGCCCACUCGGUUGCAAAAGGAGUUGCGUCUCUGCCGGUGGGUCGCCACGUGUGGCUAGGGAUCCUUCCUGAUAUUGCUUGUAUUCCGGAUGUGAUGAUCUUUGAAUAA
rnacentral:rRNA from 1 species